AUCCUUGGGAAGGAGAUGAAAAAAAUGAGCAGCAACACAGAAUUGAAACUAGCUUGCAAAUAUUAAAUAAAUCCACAAAAGAAAGAACAGACUACAGUGUACAAAUCUGGGGCAAAGCUGCCAUUGGUUUGUAUCUCUGGGAGCACAUUUUUGAAGGCACACUCGAUCCCACUGAUGUGACUGCUCAGUGGAGAGAAGGACAGUCAAUUGUAGGAAGAACACAUUACAGGACAAGCACUUUACCAACUAAGCUAUCUGCCAGGCCCCUCAUUGCAUGAAUGUUCUGAAAGGAAUCAUACUUACAAGGU